rnacentral:rRNA from 1 species
AAGAACUAACUAGGAUUCCCUCAGUAACGGCGAGUGAAGCGGGACUAGCUCAGGAUGUGAAUCUGCGCUGUAUGGCGCCGAAUUGUGGUCUAUAGACUUUGACGUUAUCUGCCGGGCCAAGUUCCUUGGAAAAGGACAGCUGAGAGGGUGAGACUCCCGUCCGCCUGGUAGAGUGAGUCGUUGUCAACGAGUCGAGUUGUUUGGGAUUGCAGCUCUAAUUUGGUGGUAAAUUCCAUCUAAAGCUAAAUAUUGGUGGGAGACCGAUAGCGUACAAGUACCGUGAGGGAAAGAUGCAAAGAACUUUGAAAAGAGAGUUAAAGAGUACCUGAAAUUGCUGAAACGGAAGCGAAGGAAACCAGUGUUUGUUGGUUCAUAUUUCCCUGGCCACUUGUGGUUUGGGCGCUGUGAGCUUGCGUGGGUUUGCUUUGGUUGAUCCCUUUGGAAGAGCGCAGUCAGAGUUGAUGUCUGUUGCUAGCACUGGGUUUGACUAAU